rnacentral:lncRNA from 1 species
CAGGAGGUCAGCACCUAACCCAGAGAGAACUUAACUGUGUCUAAAAGCUUCCAAAAAAGACUUUCCCCUUCCCAAACACUUCCUCUGCCCUGAGGGUCUUCGCAACCCCUUCCAAGCUUCUGCCUUCUGCAGCCCCAGCCCAUGCAGCAGGGAGUAUGUGGGGGCCCCCAAAGGGCUGAUGAUGCAGCCAUGUGUGUGUCCCUGUCCCUGCCAGACUGACCCCUUCUGGACAGCCAGCUCCCUGUCACCCUCCGACCACAGAGAGGCCCAGAACCAGUCCAUCUGCAGCCUGGCAGAGCUCCUGGAGCUGGCCAAGGGCAAUGCCACACUGCUGCUCAACCUGCGUGACCCGCCCCGGGAGCACCCCUACCGCAGCAGUUUUAUCAACGUGACUCUGGAGGCCGUGCUGCACUCCGGCUUCCCCCAGCACCAGGUGAGGCCCUGCAACGCAGCUCUGCCCCCGGGAGCCCUGGCCUGGCUAGAGCCCUGCUGCUGCAUAGCCUUUCCCUGUUGCACUCCGGACUUCAGCUUUCCCAUUUGUAAAAUGGGGAUCACACACUGCUCACUUCCCUGGCAGGGUCAUCAUGGGACAAGAGGGGAACAAGAAAACACUUUAAAAUGUAUAAAGGUCCAGGCGGUCAAGUUAUUUCAGUGAAGUGUUGCCCUGUCGUUUGGUGUAAUAAUCUGGGACCAGAGAAAUCUGACAUCAGUUUAGGACGGCACACUAGGUGCUAGUGGCCAUGUGCAGAGUAGUGGCUGUUUGGGUUUUCCCUCCCGUACUGACAGCAGGCCAGAAGCGAAGUUUCCUGAGUUGCUGCCAGUGCACUUUGCAGCCUUGGCUGGGACUGAGUCCUGCCCUGCUAAUGACUUCAUCUAAGCUUUCACCGCCUGCCAGGUCCUGUCUCCUCCUACCCUGAGAGUGCACACGUGUGCACACACACGCCCCGGCCCCCAGGCCCACAGCGCCUGGAGCCUACACCUGCAAAAUGUCAUCUUCAGCCCCCAGACCCUCUCAGGGUCCUCCCUUGCCCUUCCCCAGUGGCCAUGUGGGGUCCUUUGGUCCACGGACCCUCAGUCUGGAGCCUCAGUCUGGACUGGCCAUGACUGGAAGUUGGCCUCGGGCCGUCUGUCCACAGCCCCCGGACGAGUACUGUCUCAUGUGGGUCACUGCCGACCUGGUCUCCUUCACCCUCAUCGUGGGCAUCUUCGUGCUCCAGAAGUGAGUAGGAUCUGACCACUUCCGUGGCUGUCCCUACCCUGCAGCAGGCCCAGCCCCCACCCCAGCCAGGUGAACCCUCUCCUGAGCCCUGGGCCUCCGCUUGCCUGGGCACCAAGAAUGAAGUGUCCCUCUAUAUGGCCGAACUCCACUCAGCAGAGCUUUCUUGAGCCUCUGCUCUGUGUCCAGCACUCUACCAGGCCCUGGGGACAUAGAUGCCCAGAACCCACCCUGGUCCUUGAGGUAUUUUGGGGGCCCAGGCAGCAACCAUACAGAAUAUGGCCAG